UACGUAGGGUGCGAGCGUUAAUCGGAAUUACUGGGCGUAAAGCGUGCGCAGGCGGUUCGUUAAGUUCGAUGUGAAAGCCCCGGGCUUAACCUGGGAACUGCGCUUGUGACUGCAAGACUCGAGUACGGCAGAGGGGGGUAGAAUUCCACGUGUAGCAGUGAAAUGCGUAGAGAUGUGGAGGAAUACCGAUGGCGAAGGCAGCCCCCUGGGUCGAUACUGACGCUCAUGCACGAAAGCGUGGGGAGCAAACAGG
rnacentral:rRNA from 1 species